rnacentral:snoRNA from 1 species
GCGCGGUGAUUUUAUUGCGUUAAGGCUGAGGCGGUUGUUGCUGGGCCUGGCCUGAAUAAGGCCGAACCCAAGGUUCUGGCCGAUCGUUGGGUGAUAGUUGUUUAACGCUUCUGCAUGAGCGUC